rnacentral:lncRNA from 1 species
CCCUACCUCUUAAAUCUCUCAGGAUAUUCGAGAACAUUAGGUAUUAGAGAGCCCCUUGACAGUAUCUCUGUGGGAACCUGCUGACCUGCUCCAGUCCCCACUGGCUGUGCUCAGCUGUGCUGGCCUCCGGAGAGAUGUCUUCAUCGGCCUUUGUGCUAGGCCCGGCUAGAGCGCGACCUGAGCAACAAGAAGAUCUACCAAGAGGAGGAGAUGCCAGAGUCGGGCGCGGGCAGCGAGUUCAACCGCAAGCUCCGGGAGGAGGCUCGGAGGAAGAAGUACGGCAUCGUCCUCAAGGAGUUCCGGCCGGAGGACCAGCCCUGGCUGCUCCGCGUCAACGGCAAAGCGGGCAGGAAGUAAGUGGUGGCGGCCGGGGGAUGCCAGGCGAGUGCGCGCGCGGCUCCUCGGCACACACACUCUGCUGGGAAGCGCAGCUCCCGUCUCUCCAGUGGGGUGGCGACACUUCCCUGGUAGGGUGUUUAGUUUUGAAGACGUAACUGAGUUGACCUUUGUGCCUGGCUGCGCAGGAAGUCCUGGGCAGCCAUUCUGGUUGUACAGAGAAAGGGGCAGGGCAUUUGGGCCUAAGGACUGCUCGAGGGGGUGGCCUGUGGCUGCGCGGCGUUGGGUAGAGUGGAGACGUAGAUGAAGGGCCUUCCAGGUGAAUCAGCGAGCGCGAAGGCGUGAAGUCGCCCGCUGAGCUGUAGGGACCAUCCUAGUGCAGGGUGGGCAGCUCCUGGGGGCUUGCGGCUGGAGGCUGUACUGUGCAGGGCUGCGGAUGUGCAGCUGGGACCAGGGCACUUGAGGAGGCCUAUAGGUAGGGGAGGGCACUCAGAGAAAGACCGCCCGGGAUUUGGGU